GGGGAGGUUCCCGAGUGGCCAAAGGGAACAGACUGUAAAUCUGUCGGCUUAUGCCUUCGGAGGUUCGAAUCCUCCCCUCCCCA
rnacentral:tRNA from 1 species